rnacentral:rRNA from 1 species
AUAUUGGGUGUUUUCGGUAGCCGGUACGUUUACUUUGAGAAAAUUAGAGUGCUUAAAGCAGGCUAUCGCCUGAAUAAUGUUGCAUGGAAUAAUAGAAUAGGACCUCGGUUCUAUUUUGUUGGUUUUGUAGAGCAUUGAGGUAAUGAUUAAUAGGGACAGACGGGGGCAUUCGUAUUGCGGUGUUAGAGGUGAAAUUCUUGGAUCGCCGCAAGACGAACAACUGCGAAAGCAUUUGCCAAGAAUGUUUUCAUUAAUCAAGAACGAAAGUUGGAGGUUCGAAGACGAUUAGAUACCGUCCUAGUUCCAACCAUAAACGAUGCCAACUAGCGAUUAGCUGCUGUUAAUCAAACGACACAGCUAGCAGCUUCCGGGAAACCAAAGUUUUUGGGUUCCGGGGGAAGUAUGGUGCAAAGCUGAACUUAAGGAAUACGGAAUGCACCCCUGAUGUC